GCCGACAUAGCUCAGCUGGCCAGAGCGGCUGUGUCCGUAAGCAGCGGGUCAUCGGUUCGAAUCCGAUUGCCGGCU
rnacentral:tRNA from 1 species